rnacentral:rRNA from 1 species
UACGAAGGGGGCGAGCGUUGUUCGGAUUUACUGGGCGUAAAGGGCGCGCAGGCGGUUCUGUUUGUCGAGUGUGAAAACUCGAGGCUCAACCUCGAGAUGUCGGCUGAAACCAUCUGGCUAGAGUCCGGAAGAGGAGAAUGGAAUUCCCGGUGUAGCGGUGAAAUGCGCAGAUAUCGGGAAGAACACCCGUGGCGAAGGCGGUUCUCUGGGACGGUACUGACGCUGAGACGCGAAAGCGUGGGGAGCGAACAGG